GUGUGUGUGUGUGGGUGUGUGUGUUUGUGUGUGUGUGUGCACUGAUGGAUUCAGGUCUCAUGUUGGAGACCUUUAGCAGCUGUGACAUUGAUGUCACUGUUGUGUAUGUACUGUAGUGUCAGGUGUGCACGUUCCUCUCUCUGCGUAGGAAAGCUCGAAGGGCCAAACGCAGCGAGAAGUGCAACAUUUUUGACUCCAAGGCGACUUUAAAAAUCUGGCCAGCAUUUGGGCAGAGGUGUGUGUGUGUGUGUCUGUGUUGUGUGUGUGUGUGUGUGUCUGUGUCUGUGUGUGUGUGUGUGUGUGUGUGUGUGUGUGUGUGUGUGUGUGUGUGUGUGUGAGGGUCAAUGAGAAGACAGGGGUUUGGAGAAGCUGUGGAGUAAGGCAUGUUUAUCUGCUUUGUAUAUAGAGACCGUAUCUAAGAUACAGAGUUGCACUGCCAAGACAGAUGGGAUGGAGUGAUGUCACGAACCAAUAAGAUACGACUGUUUGAGCCCGCGAGCAGCUUCCUUUUCCUGCUUCACGUGUUUGUUGCCAUUGAGCCCUGUUGGCCAGGUCUGCUUGCUCCCAGGUUGAGGUAGUAGGUUGUAUAGUUGAGAAUUACACCCCGGGAGAUAACUGUACAACCUCCUAGCUUUCCCUGAGGUAUGCACGGCACUCUGCACAGCUGGAUCAAUAUAGUCCACUGUUAUUAUUUAACGGCGUGCUAAAUCGAGAUACCGCACACUCAACGUGGUCAAUAACAUUUCCCAACACUUUUUGGCCUGUUAGUGCGCGCGCGUGUGUGUGUGUGUGUGUUUGCACAUCACGAGUUGGUCUGUGGCCUGUUCGGGGUCAGAUACCCGUUUGCAUUUUAAUAUUGUGAAGCAUUAAAUCUGGACCUUUGUGGAAAAUAUUUUGAAAUGCCUCUUUCUGGUUUCAUUGAUGUUUCUUUUGGGUUCAAUAAACUUCUUAUUUUGUCUCGCCAACUAUCCAAAAACUGAGAAACAUUUUCUUCAUUUAUUCCCAAAAUUGUUGACAGUAAUUUUCUGACAUGUUUUGCUUGUGCUGCAGUGUAUCGGAUGUCCACAGCCGAAGUGUGAAUGUCUCUUCCUGUAAUUUUUUGCGUACUUACGACUCCAGCUCUGUUUGUGUGCCAGCUGGCAGCGGAGAUCUGUACUCUAUGUUUGAUGUGAAGGCAGCAGCGUUGGCCUGUGAGAUCAGAAACGCUGCAUUGUUGCGUGGCCGAUAGGACUGACGUGCACCGAAGCGUCACCGGGUUUCCGUUCCGAGGCAACGGCGAUAACCUCAUUAGUGCCGAUGACUGCGUGGAAGGAGGCCGGCUGUUUCGGUCUUGCUGUUUGUGCGGUGAUGGAUACGAAGGGGAGAAAAGCACGGGAUUCAAACGGGAGCCCGCCACUGUAGCGUCCCAGUCCGCUCGCCAUCAGUAACGUCUGCUGUCAGCCUCGACAAUUAUUGUCACAAUAUUUCCAAUCGGCAGAUGCAGACUGCUGCUGUCAUUCUGUGUGACAUGUGAAAUAUUGUGACAGUCAGGGAGGAACAGGAAAUAAACUGAUUGAAAUGAUUACUGCACAGCAAAACAGACAUUUUCAUGGUUCUGGGCUGGCUUCUCCAGCCUUGGAGUGGAUCUGCAAAGAAAUCAAAACAGCAAUAUUUGAACUCUAAUCCUGAAUGCAAACCGAGCAGCUCUUCCCUCUGCGGCUGUCUUCUAACCCUGACGUUUUGCCUCUUCUGCUUUGCUGCUGGCAGCAGUGAACCUGCUGGAUUUACAGCGUCCAACACUCCCUCUUCAGCAGCAGUAACAUGAGCGCACUGGCCUUCAUAUGUUAUAUACUGAGGCCUGGCACUUGUCUACAAGUGCAUAUGUUUACAGCAGAGGAGCAUAAGGCUGCCCCCUGUUGGUUAACCCUGUGAAGGAUCCACCUCAGGUUAGAAGACUGCAAUAAUUUAAUUUGUACAAAUGCAUGUGUGCUUUUACAUUGACCAUGUGGGCAUACAUCUGUGGGCAGUCCCAGGAGAAAGUUUUAGUUACGUUUUCCAUCUUUUUUUGCAGAAUUUGACACUUUUAAAAAUACAUUUAAGAAGUCAAGAGUAUAUGUGCACCUUUUUAGUUGACCUGUUCUAGUCAAGCCUUUAUUUGUUAUCAGGUUUGGUAAAAAGAAAAAAGAAAAUCAAGAUUAAAAUCACGAAAACUCAGUUUCUACAAAAGCUUGUAUGCUCUGUGAAAUGAAAACAAGAUUGAUUGUGGGUCCUUUAAUCAUUUCAAGGCUAAAUUUGCGUACAGAGUGUGCUUUGGCACUGUCUUGCUGAAAUGAGCAAGACCUUCAGUGACAAAGAAACGCUGCAGAUGUAUCGCUCCAUAGACUGUGUACGUCAUUGAGCAUCACUGGCUCUCAGGCCACAGAAUGCAGCAUCUGUAAUUUCCAAAGAUGUUGUAAUUAGUGAGACCACAGGGAGUUUUCCAGUAAAUAAAGUGCUUCCAUUUCUGAAUCAUAUUUAUUUAUGUGUUUCAAACUUGCAUUUGUGGAUGGUUUCUGAGUGAGCUGUGUUCACUGCUGAGUGCUGCUCAUGAGCACGUUGAUUAUUGGUUUUCAGCAUUUUCCUGUGCGUAAUGUUAUCUCACAUCUUUACUGUGUUGGUGAGUAGUUUAGCAACAUUUCACACAACGUUUAAUGUUUGCAUCUGCCUUUGCUGCAGAACGACUCUCGGCCAGCUUUGCUCCGGGUCAGCACGCCAUCAGGUUACUGACAUCACACAGAAAAAUCUCCUGAUGGUGCUAAUUACUGCAAAAUGUUUAUGCACUGUUUCCAGUUGAACAUGGAUGAUUUUCACAGAAAUCCAGUCAGCACAGGUCAGACGUCCUCUUCCUGAACCUUUCUUUUCGCCAUCCCCGUUGCCAUAGCAACGACCUCCCGACCUCAGCUGCGAUGGUCCGAUGUGACAGGUGUCAAUCAAGUUCUCCGGUCGGGAGCGCGUCAUGCCCGUCAUCGCCCCACCCAGCGGCCGUGUUUGUUUCUGGCUCUGCAGACCUGCUGCUGCAGGUUUGUUUGCAGUCCUGCUGCUUUGUUGUCGUGCGCGUGGGCUACAGCCUGACAGAUCUGGGUCUCUCUUGACGUACCGCUUGGCUGGCCGGGUGCAGAUUCCUGGCCGUUACCAGCAGAUAAUAAAUACUUGGAGAGAGCGGAAUGGGAUGGGUAAAUCGGUGGCACCUGAGCUGGAUGCAAAGUUUCAUUAGCCAGGUGGUUUAUUAUUUUGACUUUUGCACAUUUAUCCACACGCGUGUGAAGUUUAACCAUACUUGUAUUUGAGCCUACACGCCUCAGCGUGCAUGCGUGUGCGCCUUUGUCUGCCUGCUGCAGGCUCUCACCAUCAAAGCAGGCUAAUAUUAGCACCUGACAGAAGACUGGCUCUAUCUGGACACAAAGCAGGUGAUAAAUGAGGAUUGCUGCAUUGUGUGUGUGUGUGUGUGUGUGUGUUGCGCGUGCACACGUACGCGAACGUGUCAACGGGGAGACUGUAAAAUAUGUAGCAUGAUUAUUUUUCAAAUCGGCCGUCUUACAGAGGUGGAUCGUGCUGCAGAUCCAGAUGCUCGGUUUUCUACUGCAGCUGCAUUGAGAAGCAGCACGACGUGACGGGAGAUUAGCCGGGCUGCAGACGCAGGCGGUCGAUCGCUCGCAGAAGGAAAGCAAGAGGGCAGUGUGGUCUCGGGGAUUUUUCUUUUCUUCCUUUUUUUCCUCUCUCCUUCCCAGCCUCUUCGAGCCCCGUCGCUGAUUUGAGCCUGCAGCCAGUUGUAGGUCGCUGCUCUCCUUCGUUUCGCUCCAUCUGUCCCUCCCCCCAUCAUCUCUCCUCUUUUUCUCCCUCCCUCCCUCCCUCCCUCUCACUCUCUCUCCCUCUCUCUCCAUACCAAAGCCUGGGGGAGCCAGUGGAGAUUAAAUGUAGCCUGUAUAAGCCAAAGCACAUCAUGUAGCAAUGUUUCUAUGGCCCCUCUCUCUCUCUCUGAGAGGAUAGUGUGAAAGAGGUCGGCUGGUGUGAGGCGCAGAAUAAGACAGCAGACAGAAAGACUGGAAAAGUGGAUUUUUGUUGGUUUUUCUUUGCAUGCCAGCAAAAGAGUGGAUUUGUUUUCUGUUUGGAAAAUGGACAACAGCGAGGUGGGAGAAAAAAAGGAGAAAAGGACGACUUUCUCCUGCCCCUAACCCCCCCCACCCUGUCUGAUACAGAGGAAAAGUGGGCCUCUGGCUGUAAGCGAUUACAGCUGUGAGGCAAAUUAAUGGAUGAUCUCUCCCUCUCUUCUCGUUCUCCUUCGAUCAGCACGGGCAGGAGAAAGAAAAAGACUGAGGGAGACUCUCUGGGAAGGAAGAGAAGGGAGAGGGAGGUAUGCUUUUUCUUUUUCUCCUGUCUUCCCUCCUUUCCACCUCUGCAUGUGAUUGGAAAGAGAAAGCGGAGCGAGACAAGAGAUCAGCAGGCACAUUGGUUUUUGUCCUUUAACUUGGGUGUGCGUGCACGUCCUCCCCCUUUGUCACCAACCUGCGCCCGAGACCUGCAGGUUUGGAUACAAAGCAGUGAGCUCGGAAAGCAGCGAGCGAUUGGGGCAUCCUGGAUCCAAAGGGGAGGGUGAGUCGAUACCAACAAAUUCUCUUCCUCUCCGCUCCCCAUCUGUUUCCUACGCUUUAGACCACCAUGGUAGCAAAAAGGAACUGUAGAGCUUUGUCAUCAGGCUUGUCUUUUUCCUUGCGCAGCCUCUCGGGAGGAUUGGGAAGCUUGUUCUGAACAGGGAUGUGCACUUGUAAGCACUGAGCGGUCGCCAAACGAUUUUUGUUGCACCAGGUAAAAGGCAUGUCGUUCGGACGAGCAUGCAAGUCAUCGUGUGAGAUGGACUGUGAGAUGCUGCACUGGUCUGGCGCAAAUUUCAAUGCUGAAGCCAAUGCAUCCACGCGGGGCUUUUGUCUUUUGCAUCUCCUGCAAGUAAUGGUUACUAAAGGACAGAAGCAGACCUUCGCAGAUCUUUGGACAUACAGUACGGCAGCAGGCUCUGUACCUGAUGGCAGGAGGCAUUUUUCAAAGUGCUGUAUUGUUCAGCCGAGGUGGGGGAGGGGGAGAGAGAUAGUUGAGGGAGGGGGGCUGGCCAGUGUUGUGUCUGGCUGAGGCUUGCACUUGUUGUAUGCUCACGAAUGCAUAGGGGGCUGUGGAGCUUGCAGCUAAUGCAUUGCCUCUGAGGCUGUGCGAGGCAGAGCUCACUCUGUAUGCAGGAGACGCUCCGAGUCCUCAUUUGACUUAUAAGCAAGUCCAGCACACGGAGGUUAUUCCUGCGCAGGAAUACGAGUGAUUUCCGAGAGGGUUCAAAGCAGCUGUGCAACGAGGGAGAGGAGUUCGUUUAGGAUACGCGUCUUUCUCCAUCCCUGAGACCCUAACUUGUGACGUUGUGCUUUCAUGUCCACGGGUUAGGCUCUCGGGAGCUGAGAGAGAUGCACAGGCAGCGCUAUCUCCCGCACCUUCCUGCCUCCAACAAUGGCGACCGAAGGGGGGGGGGGCCGUGGCGCAGUGAGCUAAGGCGUUAACCAUGUCACACUUCACAGCUUGACUCACACCCCGGCAUGAUGUUGUUACCUGGAGUUUUCGCUCUUCCCGUCUGCCCGCUUUGCCGCCUCGCUUCUUCACAGCACAUGAAAUCAAGUAGAGCUGGUCAAAUAUCUGGGCUUCAGUUGAUGGGAGUGUAGCAUCGUGCACGCUUUAUUGAAGUCAUGUGACGGAGCUGAGGCCGCCUGAGCUAAAGGUGUGCAGAGGGGUGACAGGAAGCGAUCAUCUUGUCACAGCUGAGGCUCGAUUCUCGCAGUAUGGACCACAAGCACCAUGUUGGACCGCAUAGAAAAGCUUUACGCUAAAGUAACAUGUUGAUGAAUCUCCGCAGGAUUCUGUGUUUGAGUUUUCGUGUCACGUGGUCUGAAAAAGAGGGCCCACUCAGAGCUGUAAUGGCUAAUAAUGACUAAUACUUACUGUUAGUUACUAAUUUUUUUAAAAACAGCUUCAGGUGGAGCACUGAAGCUAACAAUGCUCGCUAAAACCAGUACACGUUCCUGCUAAAGCCAAUAGGUGUUGCUGAGCAGCUUGUGAUGGAUGGUGCUAAUGCCAUGGCGAUGGUGUCAGUCUCGUCUUGUGCACAGUGAUAAGUCUUGCAGCCCUUUUGCAGCAGGCCUGGAUACUUGCUCGGCGUCCGUGACUUGAGAGCAGCACAGAGGGAUGUCGAGAGCGUGACUAUGACAGCUCUGUACAUGAUGUGCUUGACCUCAGCAAACCCUCGCCAACAUUAACGCUUAUUCGCGCGUGCCAACGCAAAGCAAAGGUGACAACGUGAAAACACUGGCAGGCGGCUAGCAGCCAUCACCGGGGCAUGUCUAAACUACGAUGAUACCACCACCGACCACGAUCCAUGAAUGAACGGUGCAGCUGCUGAGUCGAUUCUGAUUGGACUCUGGUGUCUAGCUGCGACACUUUGUCAUCGAUAGUAACGAGGAUCCUACCUGCUGACUUGGUCAUAGGGGCACGUGGUGGCUUUUGUUGCACGAGCUUCAUUUCUCACCCAGCUGCUGGUUAAUGGGUGAGAUCUGCACAUCCACGCCACCCUGCAGGUCGCUCUCGCGAUACCCAUUUGCAGAACAGCAGCAGCUCUUUGACUACCUGAUUCUUCAAUAUCUGCCUGAACUCCUACUCCUGUGGCAUUAAUGGAGCGUAGCAGGGUAUUGAUGAUAAGUUAUUUCCAUGGAUACUUCCCUUCAUGCAGAAAGUUCAGUGCUAGAUUUGUGCGUUUCAUAUUUUAGCAAGGUAAUUAGCAGGGUCGAUGACCGUAAUGCUAAACUUAUUUUCAUUAGUAAAUGCUUCAGUGUAACGGUUUCCACUUCACUUGUGUUUCUUGCAUUGACAGUUAUGUGGUAUAAUAUACCGAUGUGUUGAGCUUCACCCUCUCAGGGCUUUGCCUCCGAUCAGAAGAACCUUUCAUCGUGUUGUUGAUGAACCAACAUGGACUGUAGCUUGAACCCUGCUGUCUUAUGUAACGCCUCUGUGAGCCCCGUCUCUUCUUCUACAUUCUCUCUGCCUCCAAAUCGCUUUUGAUUCGCUCAGCUCAGUGAGCGCAUACUAACCUGGAGCAAGUUAGUGCCUAGCCGCUAAGCUCCAAAGGAGCCGCAGGCUUGCGUCGUCCAUUGUUCGGCUCCUCUGCACACUGUCUGUACACUGUGUCCCCAAAGCUGAGCCAGACAUGGAGGACAGACACUUACAGUGUGACUGCUGGGCAUGUACCAGCUACGAUAAGCUGCUCCAUCACCCAGAUUAUGUUAGGAUCUUUAUAGAAAAUGUGUUUCUGUGCUUGCUUUUCCACAGCAGAGUCUGGAGUGGUGGUCUGGAAUAACGCGUGCCUUGCAAAGCUGCUGCACCACACAAUCCCAGGGUUUUACUCUAGUCUAGUUUUAGUCUCCAGACUUGCAAAAUUCAGCCGGGAAUGGCAACAGUUGAUUGUAAUCCUGUUUAAUGUAGACGAACUUUCCGUUAAGACAGACUGCUGAAGGCCGACCCUGGUGUGGGUUUGUGAGGACGGUCCGUUGGUUAUGCCUAAAACCUCUCGUGAAAAUCGAGUCAGCUUAUUUCAGAGUAAAAGUGAGAAAGCUCGAUCGGCACGCUGUGAAAAUGCAUCGACGUAGGCGACAGACGGCUGGCGAUGAGCCUCUUUGUGGCAGCGGGGAUGGUUUCCCUCUGCAUCAGCCUUGCUCGCCAAUCUGCAGCUUUUUUUCUGCCACUCCCUUCGACACACAGCCGCUCUCUGCUGCAGGCGGGAGAAGCUCAUUCAUCAAUAACCAGUGUGCUUCCUACACUAUCUGUCAACACGUCUGUAAUGUGAUGUGUGUGUGUGUGUUCCCCAUACUGCAGAGGGGAUCACUGCCCCUUCCAAGUCUGUCGGUGAAACAAGAUGGCGUCGCAGCUCCACGUGGGUCCUCUCGUGCCGGCCAAUGCUCGCUACCCACGGCAUCUGAGAGCAGCAGAGGGCAUUUUUUUGUUUUUUUCUAACUGUUGCACACCUGGGGCCGAUUUUCUCGCCGCGUAGCUGGAAUUGCUGAGGCUCUCGUCGGCUCUGCAGCUUGGCCAAAGAUUUAGAAUUUGGGGCACGUCCAGAGCUUUCAUUGUUUCUCUCAUUUCUGUUCGCCCGGUCUGGGCACCGACUGCCAAACUGUACGCUGUUUUGUCUGCCAUCUGGGCGGCUUUGAAAUGCGCUGGUGGGAUGGACCGGUGCAUUUUCAGCAUCACUUGUCGUUUGUCUGGGUGUGUUGGUGCGCAAGCCUGUGUGAACGAGGCAAGUUUAGAGGAGCUUUACGCACAGCCGCAUUACAGCAGCAGAUUAACCAGACUACAGACUAACGAACCUCAUUAAUCUGAGAGUCGCCCACAGUAUGUCAACAGUCACACACACACGCAGGCGCACGUCUGUGCAUUAAAAAGCUCCUCCAAUAAAGAGCCAGGUAGUGACGAGCGGCAGCAGAGCCCAUCUGUGUCGUCCUGCUGCAGGUCACUUUGCAUUUAAAGAAAGGCUGGAAAUCCCCCGAUGAGUCAACGUGUAACCCUUCUGUGCAUCAUCAUCAUCUUCGUGUGUUUUUGGUGGUUUUUGUACAUUUGAAGGAAAACAUGCCGAAGCACACGAACCAGAAAGCUGUGCUCAUCAUUUCUUUUUUUUAACAUAUUUAUUUCAAUUGGUCGGGGAGAUGAUAUCAGAAACAUAUUUGAUGAUGGGAGAGCGAUGCAGCAGCUGGAUCUGGAUGAGAUCAAGUCUGUGACACAAUUUGAGGCUUUUGCUUCUAUGAAUCAGUGCAGCCUCCUAUUACAACAUAACAGUGAUUAUGAGCUUUGUUUAUAACGGUAAAAAUGACUUGUUCUGUAUUUCAGUCUUUCCUCUGAAGCUGGAGUCGAUAAAAGUCGUAAAAACUCUUCCUGUUGAGCGAUAAUGUGAAAAUCUUUUCAGAAUGUUAUUAAAGCAAAAGCUUUUAUUUUCUAAACACUAACAAGUAUCAGUACAGAAGCAUUUUAUUGAUUAAGAUAAACUGAACAGUCACGCUGUAAACACUGAAUUGUUUUAUUCUUUCUUUUAAAGCAGAAAAUCCUGCAGGAUCUGCAGUGGAUGUGGAUCUGCAGGAUCUGCAGUGGAUGUGGAUCUGCAGGAUCCACAUGUGCGCGCCGACCUGGACGAGGCACCUUCGACUUUCUGUUCAAACUGAACAGGUGUCCUCUGACGUGUGUUCAUGAAGAACGUUCAGAGCUGCGAUCCUUCUUUGGCGCCGAUUACCUUAAAUGUGAAAUAGAGGGCGCGAUUUAAAGCUUAAAACUCUGUCCCAGUACUGGAGCUGUCUGAGGUGCAAUAAACUUCCAUCUAAUUCCUGUCUCAGUGAACUGUCUUGGUAUUGUAGCUUCAUGCUGCUCUGUUCAUCUGUGGUGGCUGUGAUGCUUUUGUUGUAGCCUUCACAAUGUGCUUCUAGUGGAAACGGAGCGAAGAGCAGAAUUUGUAUCGUGUGUGAAGUUCCUGUUAGAUCAUUUAACAAAACCGGCGCUCGUUAUAACCGACACGAUACUGAAAUAUGCUGCAUCUCAGAUUUAAGCCAAGCUACUGAACAGCACUGCAGCUCGACAUACUGUACAGAGCCUGUUACGACCUGCCCAGCAGUCUCGUGUGACUCAAUUCACCAUUUUUUCUCCAAACCCAGUUUUCCGACUGGUUAAUGUGCUCCAUUAAUCCACACACACGUGUGUUUUUGGAUAUUUCCAGAUGAUCCAGUUGUGCUAUUUUUAGACUAUUUGUCACAAUUUGUUUUAUAUUAUAUUCUGAUGUAAACUUCGAUUCACCCUCCUGUGUUAUCUCAGUUUGUGGAAUUAUUUGUUUAAUUCAAACCGACUGUGGUGAAUCUGGACGCCACGUUUGUUCAUAUAGAUACUUCAAUUUCUUCUGAAUAAAUAUAGAAGUUUUUUCUCUUCCUUCUGAUGUGUCCUACAUGUCUAAAUAAAACCUCACUGCUGUCAUUUCACGUGACUGUCAAUUCUUUCAACUCUUACACUUAUUAAUAGAAGCUCUAUGUGAAGCGUGAGAUUCGGCCGUCUAACGUGUUUUUAUUUCAUCUUUGGGAGUAUUUUUAUACUCUAUUAAAGCUCCUACUGUUGUUUUUGUUUCUGUGAGUUACGGAGACGUGUUACAGGAUCUCCUUAAAAACAAUAAAUUAAAAAAGACAGCUGACGAGGACGAUGUCAGUCUUCUUUCACCUCUGUCCAUAUGUCUUUAAAUGAGACAUUUUUAUAUUGUUGUGAAACAUGAGUCUUUUUCUGACUGGACCUACAUUAAUGUUUGCAUGAUUUAUCAAAAGUGUGCAGAUAGCAAUAAGUGUUUCUUUGUUGCUUUUAGAGGAAAAUCAGCACAUUCUUGGUGUCAGUGUAGUGGUUGUGUUUUUCAGGCUGUGCUCGGGCUUCAUUGUGUAACAGCUUUUAAAUGACUUUGUCUCUCUCUCUCUCUCUUGCAGCCUUUUAGACCAGGUCAGGACAUGUCGGGGAACAGUUCAUGAACACGAGAUGCAUAUAACAACCGGCUGCCCACACGCUGUGUAGACAUCUUUCUUUUAUAGCUUAUAGUUUGACCAGGACAUGCGUGUGAUCUGUGACAGUAGGAGCUGCUUUUUAAUGCUUCACAUGUCUCUGUAAUGUAAACAUGUAAAUAAAGUCUUAAUGAAA